rnacentral:rRNA from 1 species
AUGAACGCUGGCGGCGUGCCUAAUACAUGCAAGUCGAGCGAACAGAUGAGGAGCUUGCUCCUCUGACGUUAGCGGCGGACGGGUGAGUAACACGUGGAUAACCUACCUAUAAGACUGGGAUAACUUCGGGAAACCGGAGCUAAUACCGGAUAAUAUAUUGAACCGCAUGGUUCAAUAGUGAAAGACGGUUUUGCUGUCACUUAUAGAUGGAUCCGCGCCGCAUUAGCUAGUUGGUAAGGUAACGGCUUACCAAGGCAACGAUGCGUAGCCGACCUGAGAGGGUGAUCGGCCACACUGGAACUGAGACACGGUCCAGACUCCUACGGGAGGCAGCAGUAGGGAAUCUUCCGCGAUGGGCGAAAGCCUGACGGAGCAACGCCGCGUGAGUGAUGAAGGUCUUCGGAUCGUAAGACUCUGUUAUUAGGGAAGAACAAAUGUGUAAGUAACUAUGCACGUCUUGACGGUACCUAAUCAGAAAGCCACGGCUAACUACGUG